AUACGUAGGGAGCGAGCGUUGUCCGGAAUUACUGGGUGUAAAGGGUGCGUAGGCGGGGAUGCAAGUCAGAUGUGAAAUGUAUGGGCUCAACCCAUGAACUGCAUUUGAAACUGCAACUCUUGAGUGAGGUAGAGGUAAGCGGAAUUCCUAGUGUAGCGGUGAAAUGCGUAGAUAUUAGGAGGAACAUCGGUGGCGAAGGCGGCUUACUGGGCCUUUACGGACGCUGAGGCACGAAAGCGUGAGGAGCAAACAGGAUUAGAUACCCUGGUAGUCCACGCUGUAAACGAUGAUGACUAGGUGUGGGGGGACUGAACCCUGCCGUGCCGCAGUUAACACAAUAAGUCAUCCACCUGGGGAGUACGGCCGCAAGGUUGAAACUCAAAUGAAUUGACGGGG
rnacentral:rRNA from 1 species